GAGUUUGAUCCUGGCUCAGGACGAACGCUGGCGGCGUGCCUAACACAUGCAAGUCGAGCGAGUGAAUCUCCUUCGGGAGUGAAGCUAGCGGCGGACGGGUGAGUAACACGUGGGCAACCUGCCUCAUAGAGGGGAAUAGCCUUUCGAAAGGAAGAUUAAUACCGCAUAAGAUUGUAGCUUCGCAUGAAGUAGCAAUUAAAGGAGCAAUCCGCUAUGAGAUGGGCCCGCGGCGCAUUAGCUAGUUGGUGAGGUAACGGCUCACCAAGGCGACGAUGCGUAGCCGACCUGAGAGGGUGAUCGGCCACAUUGGGACUGAGACACGGCCCAGACUCCUACGGGAGGCAGCAGUGGGGAAUAUUGCACAAUGGGGGAAACCCUGAUGCAGCAACGCCGCGUGAGUGAUGACGGCCUUCGGGUUGUAAAGCUCUGUCUUCAGGGACGAUAAUGACGGUACCUGAGGAGGAAGCCACGGCUAACUACGUGCCAGCCGCCGCGGUAAUUC
rnacentral:rRNA from 1 species